UACGGAGGGUGCAAGCAUUAUCCGGAUUCACUGGGUUUAAAGGGUGCGUAGGAGGGCAGGUAAGUCUGUGGUGAAAUCUCUGAGCUUAACUCGGAAACUGCCAUGGAUACUAUCUGUCUUGAAUAUGGUGGAGGUGAGCGGAAUAUGUCAUGUAGCGGUGAAAUGCUUAGAUAUGACAUAGAACACCAAUUUGCGAAAGGCAGCUGGCUACACGAAUAUUGACACUGAUGCACGAAAGCGUGGGGAUCAAACAGG
rnacentral:rRNA from 1 species